GUUGAACGCUGGCGGCAGGCCUAACACAUGCAAGUCGAACGAGUGGCGGACGGGUGAGUAAUGUCUGGGCAACUGCCUGAUGGGGGGGGAUAACUAGUGGAAACGGUAGCUAAUAACGCAUACCAUAAGAUGUACCCAGAUGGGAUGAGCGAGUUGGGGGGGGAACGGCUCACAAGGGCGACGAUCCCUAGCUGGUCUGAGAGGAGGACGAGCCAAACUGGACCUGAGACAGGGCCCAGACUCCUACGGGAGGAGGCAGUGGGGAAUAUUGCACAAGGGGCGCAAGCCUGAUGCAGCAAGGCCGCGUGGAUGAAGAGGGCCUCCGGGUUGUAAAGUCCUUUCAGCGGGGAGGCGUUACCCGCAGAAGAAGCACCGGCUAACUACGUGCCAGCCGCCGCGGUAAUAC
rnacentral:rRNA from 1 species